rnacentral:rRNA from 1 species
UCUAAUACCGGAUACAACCACUACAGGCAUCUGUGGGUGGUGGAAAGCUCCGGCGGUGCAGGAUGAGCCCGCGGCCUAUCAGCUUGUUGGUGAGGUAAUGGCUCACCAAGGCGACGACGGG